rnacentral:rRNA from 1 species
GAUGACGGCCUUCGGGUUGUAAACCUCUUUCGACAGGGACGAAGCUUUUCGGGUGACGGUACCUGUAGAAGANGCACCGGCUAACUUACGUUGCCAGCAGCCGCGGUAAUACGUUAGGGUGCGAGCGUUUGUCCGGAAUUUAUUGGGCGUAAAGAGCNUCGUAGGCGGUUUUGUCGCGUCGGCCCGUGAAAACCUUGCAGCNUUAACUUGUUGGGCCGUUGCCGGUUCCGAAUACCGGGCAGAAUUUGAGUUUCGGCAGGGGGAGAANUGGAAANUCNUGGUUGUUAGCCGGUUGAAANUGCCGCCAGAAUNUCAGGGAGGGAAACACCCGGUUGGCGAAANGCCGGGUUCUUUUGGGCCCGACUACUUGACGCUUGANGGANCCGAAAGCNNUGGGGGAGCCGAAACAGGAACNAGAAUACCCNUGGUUAGUUCCAAGGGGCCGAAAAUCCAGCCACAANUGGGCCGGCCCG